GUCGUACCGGUGUUCGAUCCCUUUGGCACCGACAUCUGCACAUCUCCAGUCGGCGUCGGAACGCGAAUCUUCCCUCCCAAUACGGCUUCGGUAAGGGAGACCGGCAACUCGAUAGACAUAUCGUCACCGUCGCGGGUGAAGCGGCGAUCGGGCAGGACUUCCACCUCGAUCAGGGCAUCCCCUGGAUCGCCCUUGCCGGCGCCG
rnacentral:misc_RNA from 1 species